rnacentral:tRNA from 1 species
AGCGAGGUAGAGUAAUUGGUCAACUCAUUAAGAUCAUGGUUUGAGAAUUACAGGUUCGAAUCUUGUCCCCGUCU